rnacentral:lncRNA from 1 species
GGUUUUCAUGAACUGGUGCUUAAGGCCCUGCUCUUUCAUGGCACGAGCCAACAGAUCUCAUUCAAGUGCUAGGUGCACAAUGAGCAGCUUUCUUGAAAACCAGACGUGCAAGAUUCCCCCCAGAUACCACGACUGUAAGAAAUUGCUGGCUGAAGCUGCAACCAUCUUGUUUCUAUAGCAGGAAGGUGCUAAUGUAUUUUAAUAUUAAAGCUGAUUAUGUCUGAAUAUACAGAACCUGUAUCUUUCAAGUGCCGAAGGAACCAUCACUGAGGAUCAUUGAUAAACUUGGUUUAUGGAAAUCAAGUAGAAUUAAUGUUGCACUCCACAGAGUGCAAUAAUGCCUGUGAAGGGUUUUUGCAACCUCAGAGCUGCGUACCAAAGCCUGUUCUGUGACAGCCCUCCAAGUUUCAAGGAGUGGGCAGCCCAUGAGCGGACAGACAGAUGGGGUUGGUAAGACCUGGAUUUUGAUCAGGAGGAGGUGAGAUCCUUCUAGGAGUGUGCAUUAGUUGAGAAAUGGAGCGUGUCCAUGUACAAGCAGAGAGAACAUUGCUGCAGAACAGUAACGAAUACAGCCUUAUGGCAAAGGCGAGAGCAAACCCAACCAUUCUUCCUAAAUAUCAAAGUGCUGACAGAAAAACCCAUUAUAAACGUGUGAGGAGCACUUGGCUGCCGAAAACACUGUUGUGCUGGUGAAUUGAAUGAAUAAUAGUGAUGAAUAAUAGCAAAGAAAUAACAGGAAAAAUUGCCUCGUCACCCUGCAUAUAUUAGGAUCUAAAUCACACCCAGGACAUACGCAGGAAUCUGAUGUUUGGCAGCUCUCAGCUGCCUUCAUCUGGUGCCCCCUUAUCUUUCUGCCAGUCUUUGCUGCAUCCUGGAUUCAUGGACAAUAAGUUAGUGGUGACACAUUCCCCAGUGCUAUAUCAUCCGUAUGCAGAAUUGAACUGAAGAAGUAGAGGAAAUGUCGCCAAAAUGCAGCAUUUACCAAGGGAGCAGUCGGGAAAAAUGUGUGGCUCUCAAAUUGUAAUUAGCCUGCAUUGCAGUUUAGGUAUGGAAACAGCUCCAACUCUCAAAGGGGUAAACCAUGGAAUUCAAAUUUCCAUCUGAAUAGAGCCCAGUGGCUCUAAAAUCAAAACAUGUGAGUUUGUUUUUGCUACUGCUAUUUAGGAAAGCUACAUUUGCAAGUGUAUGUUCAACUGAGAUUAGGUCGUAAGAAAGAACCUUUUCAUAUUGUGCCAUUUUUUCAUUCUGGGUUAUGAGAGCAAAAUAGACCAAUCAAUAACAAUAAUUAUAAUUUUCUUGCUAUUGAUUGCUCAGAAGUUCUUA